AAGAUUUGGAGACCAUUCAAAGUACUGGGAAUUAAGCAGAUCUUGUGGGCUUGCUGUGAUUUGCUUGAUGACAUUAUCAAGAAUGUGGACCAUUCAGGCAAAUGAGAUAAUCAUAAUCCAUCUGGCAGGUUGAAGAGGAGACUUCCAAGAAUGGUGUUCAUAAAGUUAUUUUGGACAAUGUGAAAAAAGCAUUUGAAGCCUAACAGGAAUUGGUAGAAACAACUGGUUGAAAAUGCAAUGUUGAUGGAUUUUGACCCUCCAAGAUGUGGAAAUAAGCAGCCAUAGUCAGAUAUGAAUUGGUGGAAAAACCUGGAAAAGGCAAGACUGAUGGAUGUUGACCCUCCAAGAUGUGGAAAUAGCAGUUAUAGCCAGACAUGAAUCGGUGAAAAAACCUGGAAAAGGCAAGGUUGAUGGUUGUUGACCCUCUAAGAUGUUGAAAUGAGCAGCUACAUUGGUGGAAAAACCUGGAAAAGACAAGACUGAUGGAUGAUGACCUCCCCAAAAGCAAGACUAAUCACUGUGGAGAACUGUCACUGAUCAGUGUGCUUUAUGAGUUGGUGACAGUACCCAGGAGACUUAGAUGAAGUCGUGUUGGUGUGCUUGACAUUUUAAAUUACAAGGAGCCCUCAG